ensembl:antisense 1700061H18Rik RIKEN cDNA 1700061H18 gene
GAGGGCAGUGUUUGGUGUCAAAUGAGCCCUGAAGAUUCUCUGAGUUCCUCUUCAUACCAACUGGUAGAGAUCUAUCAAUUCUCUUAACCACAUGGAAGGACAUGAGACUGUGGCAUGCCCACCAAGUGCAUACAGGGACUCCAAGGAGAAAUCAGACAAGCCUAGGUACAAAGCAAGUCAUAGAAGAUGUCUAAGGAGAGAAGCAGAAUUGUGAAGGAUACCCUUCCCCAAACUAAAACUGCAAGGGAAACUUUCAACCUGCCAUUCCAUGCCCCUUUCUAGAACCCCGUGACAAUGGCAUGCCUUUACUUCUCGGACUUACGUUUUCCAUCCUCUGUACACGGUUUUCCAGCCCUACGAUUUGCCCAUGUUUUUCCUCCAGUUUUUCUGAAAGUAGAUUCAGACUUUCGGCGCUUCCCUUUAAUGCCUGCUCUUUCUCAAGGUUGUUGACCUGUGGUCAGAAAAACAGUUGCUAGACUUCUGUUUUGACUCUUUAUCUAAAACAAAACCCACAACGUCUUGUAUAUCCAAUUAAAAAAGUGUUUUCUUUUCUUAUCAGAAAAU